UGGGGAAUAUUGGACAAUGGGCGAAAGCCUGAUCCAGCCAUGGCGCGUGUGUGAAGAAGGUCUUCGGAUUGUAAAGCACUUUAAGUUGGGAGGAAGGGCAGUAAGCGAAUACCUUGCUGUUUUGACGUUACCGACAGAAUAAGCACCGGCUAACUCUGUGCCAGCAGCCGCGGUAAUACAGAGGGUGCAAGCGUUAAUCGGAAUUACUGGGCGUAAAGCGCGCGUAGGUGGUUCGUUAAGUUGAAUGUGAAAGCCCCGGGCUCAACCUGGGAACUGCAUCCAAAACUGGCGAGCUAGAGUAGGGCAGAGGGUGGUGGAAUUUCCUGUGUAGCGGUGAAAUGCGUAGAUAUAGGAAGGAACACCAGUGGCGAAGGCGACCACCUGGGCUCAUACUGACACUGAGGUGCGAAAGCGUGGGGAGCAAACAGG
rnacentral:rRNA from 1 species